GAUUUCUGGCUUGAAACAUUUAGCCGGCCACGGUUUCGUGUGUUAGUGCUUGAUGUUCUGGCCAUCCUUCCAAUUGCUAUUCAUCUUUCUUCAUUGAUGGGUGAGUGGUAUUGGAUCUUUUACUUUGAAAAAAUUAGAGUGUUUAAAGCAGGCUUUUUGCUAUGAAUACAUUAGCAUGGAAUAAUAAUUUAGGACUUUGGCCCUAUUUUGUUGGUUUCUAGGACUGAAGUAAUGAUUGAUAGGGAUAGUUGGGGGUGCUCGAAUUCAGCGGCCAGAGGUGAAAUUCUUGGAUUCGCUGAAGACGAACUCAUGCGAAAGCAUU
rnacentral:rRNA from 1 species